rnacentral:rRNA from 1 species
AUUGAACGCUGGCGGCAGGCCUAACACAUGCAAGUCGAACGGUAACAGGAAACUGCUUGCUGUUUCGCUGACGAGUGGCGGACGGGUGAGUAAUGUCUGGGCAACUGCCUGAUGGAGGGGGAUAACUACUGGAAACGGUAACUAAUACCGCAUAACGUCGCAAGACCAAAGAGGGUGGCCUUCGGUCCUCUUGCCAUCGGAUGUGCCCAGAUGGGAUUAGCUAGUAGGUGGGGUAACGGCACACCUAGUCGACGAUCCCUAGCUGGUCUGAGAGGAUGACCAGCCACACUGGAACUGAGACACGGUCCAGACUCCUACGGGAGGCAGCAGUGGGGAAUAUUGGACAAUGGGCGCAAGCCUGAUGCAGCCAUGCCGCGUGUAUGAAGAAGGCCUUCGGGUUGUAAAGUACUUUCAGCGGGGAUGAAGGGAGUAAAGUUAAUACCUUGGCUCAUUGACGUUACCCGCAGAAGAAGCACCGGCUAACUCCGUG